CCUACGGGUGGCAGCAGUCGAGAAUCAUUCACAAUGGGGGAAACCCUGAUGGUGCGACGCCGCGUGGGGGAAUGAAGGUCUUCGGAUUGUAAACCCCUGUCAUGUGGGAGCAAAUUAAAAAGAUAGUACCACAAGAGGAAGAGACGGCUAACUCUGUGCCAGCAGCCGCGGUAAUACAGAGGUCUCAAGCGUUGUUCGGAAUCACUGGGCGUAAGGCGUGCGUAGGCGGUUUCGUAAGUCGUGUGUGAAAGGCGCGGGCUCAACCCGCGGACGGCACAUGAUACUGCGAGACUAGAGUAAUGGAGGGGGAACCGGAAUUCUCGGUGUAGCAGUGAAAUGCGUAGAUAUCGAGAGGAACACUCGUGGCGAAGGCGGGUUCCUGGACAUUAACUGACGCUGAGGCACGAAGGCCAGGGGAGCGAAAGGGAUUAGAUACCCGGGUAGUC
rnacentral:rRNA from 1 species